AUGGUGAAACUGCGAACGGCUCAUUAAAUCAGUCAUGGUUCAUUGGAUCGUACAAUCCCACGUGGAUAACUGUGGUAAUUCUAGAGCUAAUACAUGCAACACAGCCCGGACCGCCUCGCGGCGGUCCUGGGUGCUCUUAUUAGACCAAGCCAGCCGGGUCGCAAGGCCCGCCUCCACUGGUGACUCUGGAUAACACCUGGCAGAUCGCACGGCCCUCGAGCCGGCGACGUUUCCUUCAAAUGUCUGACUUAUCAAUUGUCGACGGGCGGUGACAUGCCUCCCGUGAUGACGACGGGUAACGGGGAAUCAGGGUUCGAUUCCGGAGAGGGAGCCUGAGAAACGGCUACCACAUCCAAGGAAGGCAGCAGGCGCGCAAAUUACCCACUCCCGACACGGGGAGGUAGUGACGAAAAAUAACGAUGCGGGACUCUUUGGAGGCCCCGUAAUCGGAAUGAGCGCACGCUAAACCUGUGUGCGAGGAUCUAUUGGAGGGCAAGUCUGGUGCCAGCAGCCGCGGUAAUUCCAGCUCCAAUAGCGUAUACUAAAGUUGCUGC
rnacentral:rRNA from 8 species